UACGUAGGGGGCUAGCGUUGUCCGGAAUCAUUGGGCGUAAAGCGCGUGUAGGCGGCUCGGUAAGUCCGCUGUGAAAGUCGGGGGCUCAACCCUCGAAUGCCGGUGGAUACUGUCAGGCUAGAGUGCGGAAGAGGCGAGUGGAAUUCCUGGUGUAGCGGUGAAAUGCGCAGAUAUCAGGAGGAACACCAAUUGCGAAGGCAGCUCGCUGGGACGUUACUGACGCUGAGACGCGAAAGCGUGGGGAGCAAACAGGAUUAGAUACCCCAGUAGUCC
rnacentral:rRNA from 1 species